AUUGCCAGACCAACCCCAAUAAAAAUAACGGUAACUAAUGAGGUACGAGAAAGAGCCCGAGCGCUAAUACAUCCCGUGGCCCCAACCAGAACCAUUAUGGAAGCGAAAUCGGUCACAAGCUACUCUACGGUCAUCGGCACAGUAAUUGAAGAACACCAAACUGAGCAGGUUUCUAAAAAAGGAAAAGAAAUAAAUAUCAAAAAAAUUAAAAUAAGAGAUGACACGGAUUCCUCGAUGAUAACCGUUUGGGAACCUAGACCAGAAUUGGCUCAACUUCUGAAAGUUGAUCAUUUUAUUAAAAUUACCAACUUAAAAUUAAAUGUAUUCAAAGGAAACGUGGAAUUUAACACCACAUUUAAUACCAACAUCGAGAUUGUAGAGGGCCAACCGGUCCGGGUGGUCGGACUGCUGGAGGCGUAUGAUCAGGCGGAGGGGAUUAUCACCGUGAAAUUGCUUGACGGCAAAUAUAAAGAGUAUUCAAUGUCAUGUAAAACUCCCUCAAAAGAUAUAAAUCAGCUUAUAAUUAAAGAGAAAACGGUGACCUUGAUUAUAAAAAACAAUAAAGUUCUUGAGU